UAUGUGAUCUCAAGUAUUUCUUGUUAUUCUAUUUUCUAGCUGCUUUAUGAAGUUUGUUUCUAGUGUGCAUGAAAUUUUUCUUUUCAUAUUCUGAAUAUUUAUGAAUUCUCCAUAUUGAAGUUGUUGAUUUUACAGCAUCUGUAUCCUAUUUUUUACUAUUCUUGCUGGUGGAAGGUGCUUUUCUUUUGGUUGUUUUUAUUUUUGGUAAGUUUUCUUACAUAUCAUAGUAAGUAUAUAAAUUAAUGUAUUUGUACUUACAUAACAUAUAAUAUAAAAAUGUAAGUGUACCAUGAAUAUUAGGAGAAAUUCUUUGACAGUGAGAGUAAUAUUGUGCUCUUCUCUAAUACUUUUACCUUCUUUCUCACUCUCGGAUUAUUGCAUUGGCAAGAAUUUUCUGAACAAUUCUGCAUUCAAACAGGCCCAGUCUCAAGAAGAUAAAACGAGUGUGCAAGAAGUAUGUUGUAAUUGAAGUGGCGUACUGCCUGCCACCCAAGAGGUUGCUCUAAAUGUGUCUCCAUUUCUCUGGAAAAAAAUUCCCAAGGGGACAACUGCUGAGUCAAAUGGGUCUGAACAACAUUCAUUCCCUUGCAGAUCUGACACAUGACUUGCUCAAAUAUACAAUUACUUCACUUCCUGGUACAUUUCAUCUACCCAACUGUCACUCCAAUCUUUCCAGCUCUUUGGGAUAUAUUUCUUUCGUUCGUUUUCACAUUUUGCCUUUGGUUAAGUACGUUGUCAGUCAAAACAUGAUUCACUGAAUUUGUUUAUCCAGUGCAGUGUAAUUUGACACAGAAUUGUGUGUUUCUAACCCUUAUCCUUUUAUUAAUGUUUCGUUGUUACCUCAUUUAUCAUUUACAUUUUCAUGACAGUUCUCUAAAACUAUUUUCCCCACAUCUAUUAUCACUUUUUUCGAACAUUGUCAAUUUAAAUUCGUACAUAAGACUCAGAGAAACUUAGUUUUUGUUAAUAAUAAUAAUACAAAUCUAAUGAACUGAUUUUCUUAAAUUCUUCUGAGAAAAAAAAUAGCAAUUUAAGAGAAAUGACUAUUCAUGUGUUCUUUUUCUCUCUUUUAAUGAGAAGAUUCAACUUGAAUGAUGAAACUUUAUGUAGCAAGUGCAUUAAAACCACUUAUAAUUAUUGCUUUUCAUUUAUGCUUCUAUGUCUUUGUGUGCUAUGUUUAGAGCUAUUUAGCUCUGGUGAUAGAAUCAAAACUGACUCACAAAUUACAAAUGUAACAGAAUAAAUAUUUUCCUAUCCUUUCAAAAAAAAAAGCAAUAACAACAAAAACAACAACAAACAUAUAUUUUUAACUAUCUGAGAUGGCUGAGCUUAUGAGGGGAAUGUUUUAAAUUUGGUUAGGAGUUUAUGACAGUUGGGAAAUGAGCCAUCAAUGUUAACAGGAACUUUUUUUUAAUCUCCAGAGCUGGACACUUCCCACAUUAAAUAAGCACACCUGUCUGUUUUGAUCUCACAAAAUACAGAAGAAAAAAAGCCUAAUUAAAAUUUUAACAUACUUAUGAUUACACUUGCCAGAGUAUGUUUACCAUAACUUGAAUUAGAUAUUGUCUUGCCAUUACUAAGUGAGUUCAUCAUGGUGAUUAGGUCAGGAAACAUAAUUUCUUAUGAUCUACACAGCCUACAUGAGUAGUUCUACUUACCACUACCUAAAAUCUGUGAAAAAACCAUUUUAUGCUGAGGGUUGCUUCAUCUUCAUGGAAAAAAGCAUGUGACAAUUUGAUAACAGUGCUUAAUUGGUAAUAUCCUUGUCUACAUCCAGAAUGGUACUAAGACUACAAUGACGUGAAAGUAGUGCUGAACCUAGACUGAGAGGUUUGGAGUUUGAGUCUCUGCUUCACCAAAUACUAACUAUACAACCUGAAACAAUGUAAUCAACUGUUAGGAAUCAUUGUUUUUCACUAAUAAAAAGAGAAUAACUGUUCUAUUUAACACAAAGGACUUAAAAAUAAUUAUAUAAAAUCAGGUAUAUAUAAAUCUAUGAACUUCCACAUUAAUCUUGUAUUUAUUCUAUUAACCUUGCCCCCCAAUGUCCCCCACUCAAUAUGAUAGGAAACCAAUUUUUGUCUUUGUGAUAUAUUGAUUUCUUUUCCUUUGGGUAGAUAUUCAGUACUGGGAUUGCUGGAUCAAAUAGUAGUUCUACUUUUAGUUCGUUUAGAAAUCUCCAUACUGUUUUCCAUAGAGGUUGUACUAAUUUACAUUCUCACCAAAAACGUGUGAGAUUUCCCUUUUCUCCACAUCCUCACCAAUGUCUGUUAUUUUUGUCUUUUCGAUAACAGACAUUCUGACUAGAGUAAGAUGUUUUCUCAUUGUGGCUUUAAAUUUGUAUUUAUCUGAUGAUUAGUGAUGUUGAGCACUUUUGAAUAUACUUGGUGGCCAUUUGCAUGUCUUCAUUUUAAAAAUGUCUGUUCCGUUUUUCAAUUAUGGAUUUUUUAAUGAAAGUUUUCAUGUCAAAAUUUACUACUUUGCAUAAUUUUGAUUUUUUAAAUUUAACUAAAGAAUGAUUUGGUGAAUUAGACCUUAAAGCUGCUUAAUUCUGACAGGUAGGCUUACCGGCUUUGAUUUCUUUGUCUGUCCCUGUUUCCCGAACCAAGUCCUCCUGAAUCAUUCUUUAAUCUAUAAUGCUAUAACUUCAUUUAAGGUGUUUAAGUGCACAAGCAUGUUCAGAUUCAUUUUGCUUUAUUAUUGCUUAAUAAAACUAAAUAAAAAUGAAUAAAUUACAUAAUUCAAACAAAAAUAAUGUCUGUUCAUAUGCUUUUCCCACUAUUUAAAGACAUUCUUUGUUUUAGGGGGUCUUAGUCAUACAUUCUUUGCCCAGACUAAUUAGGCUAUAUUUUCACACGUU
rnacentral:lncRNA from 1 species